GAUGAACGCUGGCGGCGUGCCUAAUACAUGCAAGUCGAGCGAACGGACGAGAAGCUUGCUUCUCUGAUGUUAGCGGCGGACGGGUGAGUAACACGUGGAUAACCUACCUAUAAGACUGGGAUAACUUCGGGAAACCGGAGCUAAUACCGGAUAAUAUUUUGAACCGCAUGGUUCAAAAGUGAAAGACGGUCUUGCUGUCACUUAUAGAUGGAUCCGCGCUGCAUUAGCUAGUUGGUAAGGUAACGGCUUACCAAGGCAACGAUGCAUAGCCGACCUGAGAGGGUGAUCGGCCACACUGGAACUGAGACACGGUCCAGACUCUGACGGGAGGCAGCGGUAGGGAAUCUGCCGCAAUGGGCGAAAGCCUGACGGAGCAACGCCGCGGGGGUGAUGAAGGUCUUCGGAUCGUAAAACUCUGUUAUUAGGGAAGAACAUAUGUGUAAGUAACUGUGCACAUCUGAACGUUACCGAAUCAGAAAGCCACGGCAAACUACGU
rnacentral:rRNA from 1 species